rnacentral:rRNA from 1 species
GACAGAGGGGGCAAGCGUUGCUCGGAAUUACUGGGCGUAAAGGGCUCGUAGGCGGCCAACUAAGUCGGACGUGAAAUCCCUCGGCUUAACCGGGGAACUGCGUCCGAUACUGGAUGGCUUGAGUUCGGGAGAGGGAUGCGGAAUUCCAGGUGUAGCGGUGAAAUGCGUAGAUAUCUGGAGGAACACCGGUGGCGAAGGCGGCAUCCUGGACCGACACUGACGCUGAGGAGCGAAAGCCAGGGGAGCAAACAGG